ACGUCAGCUUCCAGGGAGGGAUGGUCCUCGGUUCAAACCUCAAUCCUGACUGGAAAAUCACUAAGGGCCCUUGGGCAAGGUCCUUAAUCUCCAAGUUGCUCCCGGUGUGUAAUGAGUGCCCUGCAUGGCAACACCCUGACAUCAGUGUG